CGAGUGGCGGACGGGUGAGUAAUGUCUGGGAAACUGCCUGAUGGGAGGGGGAUAACUACUGGAAACGGUAGCUAAUACCGCAUAACGUCGCAAGACCAAAGAGGGGGACCUUCGGGCCUCUUGCCAUCGGAUGUGCCCAGAUGGGAUUAGCUAGUAGGUGGGGUAAAGGCUCACCUAGGCGACGAUCCCUAGCUGGUCUGAGAGGAUGACCAGCCACACUGGAACUGAGACACGGUCCAGACUCCUACGGGAGGCAGCAUG
rnacentral:rRNA from 1 species